rnacentral:sRNA from 1 species
GACCGAUCUCGUUUUCAGUGUCGUCGUCGAGAUUGUAGCGGAUUGUGGAGACCGCCGAGGUGAGGUCGGCGACGAGUUUCUCGUAGAUGCCGGCUUCGG